AACGAACGCUGGCGGCAGGCUUAACACAUGCAAGUCGAACGGGCACCUUCGGGUGUCAGUGGCAGACGGGUGAGUAACGCGUGGGAACGUACCCUUCGGUUCGGAAUAACCCAGGGAAACUUGGGCUAACACCGGAUACGUCCGCAAGGAGAAAGAUUUAUCGCCGAAGGAUCGGCCCGCGUCGGAUUAGCUAGUUGGUGGGUAAUGGCCCACCAAGGCGACGAUCCGUAGCUGGUCUGAGAGGAUGAUCAGCCACACUGGGACUGAGACACGGCCCAGACUCCUACGGGAGGCAGCAGUGGGGAAUAUUGGACAAUGGGCGAAAGCCUGAUCCAGCCAUGCCGCGUGAGUGAAGAAGGCCUUAGGGUUGUAAAGCUCUUUCAGCGGGAGAUAAUGACGGUACCCGCAGAAGAAGUCCCGGCUAACUUCGUGCCAGCCGCCGCAGUAAG
rnacentral:rRNA from 1 species